rnacentral:rRNA from 1 species
AUUGAACGCUGGCGGCAUGCUUUACACAUGCAAGUCGAACGGUAACAGGCCUUCGGGUGCUGACGAGUGGCGAACGGGUGAGUAAUGCAUCGGAACGUGCCCAGAGGUGGGGGAUAACGCAGCGAAAGCUGUGCUAAUACCGCAUGUGAUCUGAGGAUGAAAGCGGGGGACCAGGCAGCAAUGUUUGGCCUCGCGCCUUUGGAGCGGCCGAUGUCGGAUUAGGUAGUUGGUGGGGUAAAGGCCUACCAAGCCGACGAUCUGUAGCUGGUCUGAGAGGACGACCAGCCACACUGGGACUGAGACACGGCCCAGACUCCUACGGUAGGCAGCAGUGGGGAAUUUUGGACAAUGGGCGCAAGCCUGAUCCAGCAAUGCCGCGUGCGGGAAGAAGGCCUUCGGGUUGUAAACCGCUUUUGUACGGAACGAAAAGGCUCUGGCUAAUACCUGGGGCUGAUGACGGUACCGUAAGAAUAAGCACCGGCUAACUACGUG